rnacentral:tRNA from 1 species
GCCCCCAUCGUCUAGACGGCCCAGGACACCACUCUUUCAAGGUGGCAACACGGGUUCGAAUCCCGUUGGGGGUACCA